CUUGCUGACCCGGUGGAGGAUGGUGGCGUCGUCUCCGGCGCCGAAGCACUCGAUGACGGCCGCGAAGACGACGGUCAUGAGCGGCUCCGUCAUGCCGUUGGCCACCGCGGCCACCGUGCCGACCGCCAUAAGCGCGGCGUCCGUGCGGUCGGCAUACUUGAGCAUGUCAAGGAACGGCACCAGCUGCUUGUGCUCCGAAUAGUUGGUCGUGGCCCCGGCUGCGUGGUCGCUGCUGCGGCGUCCCUCGUUCGUCGUCGUCGUCUCGGCAUCGUCCUCGCUACCGUGUCUCGCUCCCCCAGCCAUGAAUCCCUUCUCUCUCUAUGGCUGGAUCCUAGCUGUUUGUUUGCACUACUGGUGCUUGCUUGCUC
rnacentral:misc_RNA from 1 species